UUUAUACAGCUGAGAUGAUGACCUACUGCCCAUGGUAUGAAAGGGCCACAAUGGUACUACACAAGAAUGGUUCUCAGAACUCCUGUUUCUGGAAUUACCUGGGGAACCUGUUAGCAUGCCAAGCCUGGGUUCUGAUGCUAGAGAGUAUCAGGGCUGAAGCUUUCAGUCUCUCUGUGAGCAACAGGCCCAUUUGGAUGACAAGUAGCCUGUAGCUUAUUCCCUGAAGAUUCCUGAAUAAUCCUCUAUGUGGAGCACUCCCCAGCACUCCCUGAGAGCACUGAGGGAAUGGGAAAGGUAGCAAGUGUUCAUCAACACACUUGCGUCUCUAACAUUGUCUGGGAACCUUCUAGCACACUUGCUUCCCAGCCAAGGGACACUUAGAUUUUUAUCUUGACUGGAAGUCAGUCCUGGGGCAGCUUGGCCAUGAAGGUUGGUACGUCUUCUAAAGAAUUCCUAAACAAAUUGCCAUUCUUUGUCAACUUUUAAGCCUCCUCUGAGAGCACAGGACAUUCUGAGCCUCCCAUGAUUUAAGUAAUCAACAUCAACCAGGUCUACAAAAAGACAGUGCCGGGGGCAGUAUGGUCUAUGUACAAAUUUCCUAUCUGAGACUCACAGCGGUGUAUCAGAUUACCCUGUGUGCUUCCAUUGUCUCCUCGGGAAAAUGGGAAUUAAUCAGCCUUUCUCUUAAGUUUAUUAUAAUAAUUGAAUAGAACACUACCCACCAAAUUCUUAAGUCUAGAAUGUCAGUAAACAGAUCCAUGGCCAGCACUCAGGGUGUCUUUAUGCUAUUAGAAAAAGUUAUCUACCCUAGAAUAGACAAUGUCCGAAGAUGCCUCUUUCUCUGGGAUGGUGUUUCUGCUGAUGGCCUUUGGAAGCAGAGUGCCUGCUCAGUGAGCACCCUUCUGACUAGGCACUUUUCUACAAAACUGAGGCUGAGACUCAGUCUAUACCUGUUAGUAUAAAAAGGAGGCUGGGAAAGAAAUCAAUGCUGAGAGCCCCCCAAAUCCUAUACAUCCUCCACACACACUCCCAGGAUUCUCCUCAUCUACAGACUCACACCCUCCAACCAGGGGGUCAUAGUGACUCAGUACCACGGUGCUAUGCUCAGCAAACACUCAACUGGAAAGAGAAAAAAAAAAGGAAAGAGAAGAACAGAGUGAGAACAGAGAACAAAAGCAUAAAGUCACGCUGAGUUUUCUUUUCUGAGCUUUCUACCAGCUGAUCACACUUCCUCUUUCUCUGAGGGCUUCUCUGACAGGCAGCUUGCUUCAUAUUUGGUCAUUGCCCUCUCACCUUCCUGGGUGAGUCAGUGUAGUUGACCUUGUGCACCUCAAGCUCCAGGGCUCCCAUGUGUACUCUGUCCAUUUCCUGGUCUUCCCAGGUAAUCACCCCCUGCACAGAGAAAUCGCCCCACCCACAGCCCACAGCCCCCACACCCCUCUGCCUCUGAGACAGUCGUGCAUGCACUGGGGAUGUGAGUCAGGGCAUUUACCCAUCCUCUCCUUCUGAAGCUAUUAUUGGAAUGCCUGUGCACGCAGAGCAUGCCUGCUUCCCGUAUUUCACAGGUCAGGGCUCCAGGAGUUGCUAACCACACGCUGCUUGGUCUGAGCUGCCACUUGGAUGAUCACGAGGUGGCUGCUGGGAAGAGUGUGUGCUUCCAAGAAAGCAGGUUUGUGGAGUCCAGAGAUCUCCACCUCCUUCAACUAGCACCAGCCAUGUGUCUGGGACAUGUGCCUAGUAGUGUGCCUUGCCUCUGUGGGUGGUACAAAAGAAAUUGUUCUGGAUUGAAUUUGGAGGGGGAGGCAGAGACGUGGAGAGCAAGAAAGGCCAUUGCAAACACAUGUGCUAAGUGAACUCUCCAGGCAGAGGCAGCUGGGGAGGUCCAUGUAGGAGGAGAAAAGGGAGGGCAAUUCAGAACACAGGUAGCUGUGGGGGAGAUGGUGACCGGAUGCCAUCAGCUCAGUGAAAAUACAGAGGGGGAAUGAGUUGAACUUGUUCCCACAAACCUAAGCAUUGUGCUAAGUCUGAAUUUUGAAGUUGCCUUCUCUUAUUUGUUUAGGAGUGUUUCUCAUUGCCAGUCAAGGGUAUCUGCUCCUUUUCCCCUUAAUAGAAAACCUGAGGUCAGACAGAUAAAGUCCUGAGCUCUCUCAGUCCUUGCACCAGAGCAGAGGGGGUGAUAUACAUGCUCAAGAAGUCUGCCUUCUGAGCCUUAUGGCCAUGGGCAGGGAGAGAUUUUCCCUCUUUACAUAGAAAUGUGAAAGGGUGGGUAAAGCCUAGUUUCUGCGUCCCUUUUCUUUGAAAACCUGACGUUGAUCUCAUUUUAUAGAUGUAGGUCUUGUUUUAGGGCCAGCUAGCUGGGUACUUGAGAAAGUUCUGGUGCCCACUGCAGGUUGGAUAGGGCUGUGCUCUUCCCAAAUUCAGGAAGCUCAUGGCUGUGCUCAUGGCUCCGCUCAGGCGGAGUUCCCGACGGAAGCAUCGAUUAGCAUCCACAUUUUCCCUAUUUGACAAGGGCAUGAAAGCAUGAGCAUAAGUAUACGUACAAAAACCUUUGUCUAGGGCAUUUUCAGAUGCCAGGAAAGAAGACUGGAAUUGGAAAAGCAGGACCUGUGUGGAGGCAAGUCCCAGAGGGGGUUCAUAGUAGCCUGGAUCUGCUGAAUGAACCCUAAUAUGAACUACAUGGUGGGGGUGGGCAAGACAUCCCCCUCAAGUCUCAAGCACAUGUAGUAAUUCCAGAAUACCUAGGAGCCGUUUGGUCUCUUCCUUCCUCCUGACAGUGAGAGGAACUGGCAGGACCUCCGUAGACCACUGGGGUGAGUCACAGAAGCGACAGAGGACCCUUCAGUUUGUCACAACUGACUGAACUUCUAACUCCCACCAGCUGGAAAAGUGGGGCUGGUGUGGGGCAGUUCUGUAACUUAAAGCUGGCUCAAUUCACUCCAUUCCUAGGUUCGAGUCUUAGAGUAGCCACUUUAAGACACUGAAGAAAUCACCAUUGGCAAACAGUAGUAGACGGACCCGUUCGGCAUUACGGAGAGCAUUAUCGUGUGUCUCAGUUCCACUUCUGGCCCUCUAUCCCAAAGGACCUAUAACAAAGAAGUGCACACGUGUCGUCAUGCGUAUGGCACAGGUAUUCACGGUAGUUUCCCAAGUGUCCAUGGGUAGGUAAGCAAAGCUUUAAAUGUACCGUGUGCAUCUGGGAGAAUAUUGUUAAGUCUGUAUGAAGUGCUGACAGGUGGUGCCUUGGGUGAGCCUCAAGGAUACCAUUCUGUUCUACUUGUAUAACAUGUCAGGAAUAGUCAGAGUUUAAAGACAGAGUGUUGGAAUAGUGGUUGCCAGACACUGGAGGGAGGGAGACUGGGCUGUUGUUUCAUGGGUACAGAAUUUCAGUUUUGCAAGAUGAAAAAGUUGAUGUCAUAUGUAUUUCAUCACAUUUUGAAAGGUAAAGAAUGGAAAGAAAAGGCCGCAUUUUGUCUGAUACAUGACGAUAACUAUGUGAAUUAAUGCAAGAAUCUUAAGUUCUCCAUUUAAAUGGUAGAACAGUGUGGAGUUGGGGAGAGUGUGGCUGGUACAGAGAUCGGAAGCACUCCUUAGUCCUUGCUUCCAUAGACAGACGUGAUUGCAUAGUCGUGACAAACUGAGGGAAACUGGAAGACAUCCCCAAGAGCGACUGUGACUCACCACAGUGGGCCACCCAGUUCCUGCCACCUCCUCUUAGAGCUGUUGGGGAACACACAGUUCACUGUCUCUUCCGGCUUCCACCACCAUGACCCAUGGCAGAAAAGGUGUCUGCAUUUAAAAUUACCAUGUGGUAUGUGCUGGAGACUUGUUGAGAGCUGCCCUGGCGUCUCUGAGUCGCACUCCUUCCAGAUCCAGGGACCCUCUUUCUUAGGUGAAACUGCAGCAUAGAUGGAAAAGCGUUUGAAAUCUGACUUAAAACCUACUACUUUAAUAGGCCCUGAUAAGCAACCUCUGCCAGCUACUCCAUUAACUGCUUUUAAACAAAAUGAAAUGAUCGGUGUAUGAUAUCCAGGGGAAGAGAUUUACUUGGGUGAACAUCAUAAAUAAUGGGAACUUCACUGAGAGAGAGAGAGAGAGAGAGAGAGAGAGAGAGAGAGAGAGAGAGAGAGAGGUGAGAGCCAGUAUUUGUUUUUGUAAGGUGUCUGUUGAACGUUUUGUGGUUGGAAAUGCUAGACUAGAGCUGCUUAAUGAAGCAGAAAUGGGAGAUACCUCAAACACCAGAAACACAAAACUCAAAACCACCAUGCAACUUUUGCAAAGUGACAUAAUGGGUGAAUGUGUCCCACUGACCAUUGCAUGAAGGGGGGGUGAGUGUGUCCCAGUGGCCAUUGUAUGGAGGUUGGGUGAGUGUGUCACAAUGGCCAUUGCACAAAGGGUGGCUGUCAUACAGACCUUCACUUUGUGCACCUGCUUUGUGCUCCGCUCUUCUGCCUUAUGCAUCUCCAAGCCAUAGGCCCUGCUUUACCCACUCACUCUCCCACGAUUGAGAUGUGAUUCUCAGUAUGAUUUGUUUUCUGAAAAUCUCCCCCUGAACCAAUCCAUCCACAACCUAAAACUGUAGAAUACUGCUGCCAUAUUAGUUCAAAGUUCAUAUUAGGUCAGAAGUUUUUGAAGAAUGAAAAGAUAUGUGUUGAGAGUAAGCAGAGCUGUAGAGGACAUGAUGUAGAAUGCUGAAAUAAAGAGACAUCCAGAACUUUUCAGGCAAAACUUCCAGUUCAUCUUGUUUUUAAAAAACUCAUCUGCCUAUUGUACAGAUCUAGUCUACUUCAUUAUCUGUUGGGUAUUCAUGGGCUUCCCCAAAUCCUCAGUAAAAGCAUGGAGAAAACCAGAACAUGAAUUCCAAAAAAACUGGAUCAGCAAUACUGCAACGGAAUUUUAGAAUAAGUCAAGAUGGGUUCCUCACCAUAAAAUCGCCAGGCCGUUGUGCUGUGUCAGAGUGGAACCCAUUUCUAGUCUUGCAGUAAUGAACCUUAACUGAUGGUAUCUUGCAGUUUCCAAACCCAUGUUCUAGUAAGUUCAAGUUUCUCAGUUUCUAUGUUUCAUACCCAACACGAAACAGUCCUGUUAGUCAACAAGAGCUUCAACGUACCUGAAUCUUCAGUGGCCAGUUAGAAGUUCAAGAGCAGUACCACCCCGCAGAAUGAUCACUGAUGGCUUUAUUGCUGACAGUGUUCACGCACUAUUGAAUGGUUACACAUGAUAAGAGAAAUGCUAGUUUUAAAUAUGUGGGCUUCUUGGAAGGGGUUUUUGAUCAUUACAAAGUAUGAGUCAAAUGGAUUCAAAUGGAAAGGUGACUCUCUCCUAGCAUUCACUCGUCUGCUCUCUGGAUGUUGGAGUGAAGGGGGAAUGCAGGUGAGGUCAUUUCCUCAAACUUUUGAUCAUUGCUAGGAGCAGGACACUAGGAAACAGGAGGUAUGGCUUCCAGUGUCCAUUCUGCCUAUACAUAGCCUAGAGAGUUUGAGUGCAUCUGUGAAAUGGGCACAAUACUGUCUUACUUUUAUGGUGAGUACAAGUGGCACAAAGAAUGAUGGUGUGGCAUUGUUUGUGCACUCCUUUGGGUCCUGUAAAGCCAGGUAAGUUCUCUGUUUUCAUUCUUGACCUUCCAGCUAAGUGGCUCUAUAGACCUUCACUGCACAAUGAUCUUCAAGCCUCACUCCCCCAGCUGGCCAAAAUACUAGCUAGCAGAUAUAAAGGAAAAACAAGUCCAGUGGGAUCAGGGAUGAUGUGGGGUAAAGGACUGUAGGAAGCAAGUUAGCAAGCAGUGCUGUGUGCCUUUAGAGAGAGGAAACAGAGAUACUUUCUGGAUUCCAAGAGGCAGGAGAGACUUGUGGGUCCCUUUCGGUCAGUUUUUAUUUAGCACAUGAGUCUUCCAGUGCCAGAAAAAGAUCUUCCAAGGUAGGAAUAAACAAAUCUGGGACUUUUUUUUUUCUUCUGCUGAUUCUUCUGGCUUCAGUUGGCCUCACCCCUGGCCAUUAGACCAUGCGAUCACAGGAGAUUGGACUACACCAAGCAUGAGAGACCCUGCUGGUUGGCCUUUGCACUUAGAGAGGGGAUGCUGAGGUUCUGUAUGGAGGAAGGCCUUGGCUUAGUGAACUUCUUUAAGUCUCAAGGACAGUUGCCUCUGCAAAGAACAGUUAGGUGGAUUUGCCUCUGCUUAAUGGGGCCCAGACGUCCCCUUCCAAGUCCCAUCAUGGGUCAUUAUCCAGAGCCUGUGUUAGAAGCCUUCAAGCUGCUGCCCCAGGACAGGCCCUGGGAGUUGCCUUCUGGGGUUGCUUAGUAGGUGAACGGGAAAGGAGGUGAGCAUCCCACCAGCAGGCAGCAUAGGGUGUGUGAGGGAGCAGAAAUGAGUGGCUUCACAGUUGUAGCUCGUACCUUUCAGGGAGAAAUUGUCUCAGUCAAAAAAAAAAAAAAAAUGUGAACAGUGACCUAAAAUGAGAAGGAACAAAUAACAUCCAGUAGGAGCCCAGGUUCCUUCCAGGUCCCCACCCACAGAGCAAGAUCCUGUGCCUCUUGGUAUUUGCCUGCAUGCUGCCUCUGGUACUUAUUUCAAAACCCUGCCUGAGAAAGUUCUUGUGGGACUCUUGUCAUGUAGGCGAACAGCUUAGUCUCUCUUUUGAAACCCAGGGAAGCCACACAGAAACGGCGUCAAAUUUGACAAGCUGGAGAAAAGGAGAGGCUGUCCUUGGCAGUUACUCAGGCCCCUGAGAGAUGUCCCCACAUCUGGUGCAAGAAUUGCCCAGAAGGGAGGCCCCUGGGCAACCCACAGGCUUCCCAAGUCUACUGCCUUCAUUAUCAGUUUCUCCCUCACUUCAGCCUAAGCUAUCAGAGGCUGCAGGCAGCCCAGGCAGCUGGGCUGUGCUCACAGCAGCUACACUGUGAUUAAAAGGACAACUGUGCCCCUCCACCUUUGCUUCUGGUGAAUGUGUUGGGCAUCAGCCUGGGCAAGAGCUCCCAGUCUGCAGGUGCCUGCAGAUCCCAUAUAAUCCUUCUGUUUUGGCCUACUUUCUCAAGUGCCCCCUUCUGCUUUCCACACGCACAUUCAUUCUCUAACAACCUGAAGGAAAUUAACGUUGUGCUAAAUGAACAGGCUAGAAGACAUAUAAGUCCAAUGUCAAAUCCAUUUUCUUUUUGCCUUGCUUUCUCUUAUUUCCUGGGAUGGCUUAAAUUUGACUUCUGUAUCAUUAAAAAAAAGUAAUAACUAUGAUGUACCUCAGAGUUUCUUAAGAAGUACUUGCAAAGCAAGUUGUAAAUUUCAACUUCAGAACUCGGACAAUAUUUAAUCUUGGACAGUUAAAUGUGAAGAAAUGACCCUGAGCAUAGCCAAUGUUUAUAAACUGUCCCCUGUUCUCCGUCCCCCAUUAGGAGAUACAAUUCUGGAGAUACCAAAAUGAUAAGGCACACCCCUGCCACCUCCAAGUUUUAAUUUCUCUCAAACUUUCACCUCGUGGUAAAACACAAGUCUAAUUUGUAUUUCACCCCCUGAUGAUGUUUUUAGAAGGGCAAAAGUGUCUGAGUAGCGCCCUGCAUCGAUACUUAUCCAAGAGUGUAAACCUGUAGCUGUCAGCAUGUAGAGAUGAGAAAAACUGCUUUACUUAUUCAGUGGUGAGUCCAAGGGUCUCACAAUGCUCAGCUUUAAGCGUGUUUAAUAUAAAUCUUCCCCAGAGCUCUACUGUGAUGUGUGGACCAAGACUGAGUACUGUUGAGUACUGUUUGAUAUACACAGUCAACAGGAGGAGGACACAAAGGGGACAAGGUCUUCUUAUCAGUGUGUGGAAAGGUGGAAGAGAGUUGACUGUGGAGUUAAUGGGAAAAUUCAGUAAGCAACAAUGAAACAGAUAUUGGCAGGUGAUUGACAGAUGAUUGACUGUAUGUAUAAUGUGUAAAAUCAUUAGGUAUUGUUAAAAUGCUAGAUUUUAAUGCUAUUUGAUUGACGUUGGCAGUGACACAUGAACACGACUGGGUGUGAUUCUAAAGCACAGUUCAAGGAGCCCGGCAACUUGGAUUGUGAUGUAGGAGAGACCCAUUUGCCCACACUGAUGGCGAGAAACCGUGUGGUAUGACAGCAAGGCCGGACACAUGUUGGCCUUGUUCAGCCAGCAGUGCAACUGAAUGAAAGACCUUAGUAACCCUAGGAGAUAUAGAAGAGUCAAGUUGUACCCUGCCAAGAUGAAUAAGCCAAGAUUUAUGGUAAAUAGUGAGCUGUUCUUUUGACCCACUGAACUUUACUGUAUAUUGUUCACUUGACAGGAACAGAUAAUAAGAUAGUCACAUCUUACCGUUCAGGAACUAGCCCCGGAAAGAACUAUUACUUAUCAGAAUUCUUCUUUUACAUACAUUGCCACCUUGGACAGGAAAACAAGACUCUGAUGAAGAAAAGUAUGCACUGAGUGAAACCCUAAGACCAGAGGAUGCUGGGACAGCCAGAUGUUAAAGUGUUAUCAUUGAAGACAAAUCACCAAUGUGUUCUAUACACUUAGGGAUUCAGGAAUUUUCCAAUGGCCCGGAACCUAAGCGCCAUGGUUAUUUUGCUUCCUGGGUUGGCGGCUUUCUUCUUUUCAGCCCUUGGAGUUGUUUCUUUGGCUCUGUAUGCCAGCUUGUCUGGGAGGCUCAUCCUCUUAUUAUUGGAGCUAGAAGCCCAGAAACUGUGUUUCCUAAUACUCUCACCAACAGAGGUCUUGCAGAAGGCUGAUAAGCAUAUGUGUUCGCCUAUGAGUUAGGAGGGUCCAGUUCUGGACAAGCUGAAGUGCUGCUCCUCUGCUGAAGAGGGCAGAAGUGUGGGUCUCAGUUGUUAUCAGAUUUCGCCCUGACUUCCAGACAUCUUGCUGUGAAUCAUCCACACCAGCGUGAGAAGCAGAUGUAGCAGCAGCUUUCUGAAGUCUCUGUGCCUUCGUGUAGAUCUGAAGCAAACAGCACAUGUGAAAGCUCGAGCCUUCUCCUCACCUUCCUUCCCUGACUCCUCCAGGCUCUUCUACAAGUUUUAAAUGGGCCCAGCUCCUUGUAUUCAAUCUCUUUCCUAACUGAACAGCCCAGUGUGCCUUUUGGAUUUUCCUACCACUGUACAUGAAAUCUGAAUGAGAUUCUGACAGACAGUGAAGUAGUACUUCGUUAUAUGUAUGUGUCUGUAUCAUCCAAUUUUAUAAACAUCUGGAAAUCUUCUCCUUAAAGUUUGGAACAAAAAAAUAUAUGCAAUACAGCCUAGAAGCCAAUGAAGAACACAAAGUGGAAAGAAACAAUGAGGAGGAAGUAAGAAGUACAGUUAAGGUCUCGGAUUUAAGAGAGUUUAGUACUAGCCAAGGAAACAUUUUAUAGGUAGACUCAUUAGACUCAAGAAACAAGCAAGAGGUGCCUGGUUACAUAUGAGCUGCAGAUAAAUAAUAUAACAAGAAGAGGAAUAGUCUGGAGAAGAUGUUCCUGUCUUAAUAUUUGAUGCCUGCAAAUAGAUUACCUUACUUGGCAAAUGAAACUCUUGAGUGGUAACGGGUCUACACUGAGAGACAGGGCGAGUGUUUUGAAGUAUACAGGGAGUCCUAGGUAUACAACUGAGUCGUCAGGAAUGACAAACUUUAGCCAGCUAUAGUCAGGAGAGGUGGCUGGGGAUGAAGUACGUGGCUGGCUAGAAGGCAGAGGAGGAGCCCAUGAAGCAAGGAUAUCGGUGGCUUUAGACGCUGUAAAAGAAAAGAUAAUGAGUGUUCCCCUGCAGUCUCCAAAAUUGAGAGUAGCUCCAGCAACACUGGGAUCACAGCCCACUAAGAUCCCUGUCAAACGUUCUAAACAACAGACCUGGAAGUUAAUGUUGUUACAAGCCACUCAAUGUAUGAUGACUUGCCCCGGGAACAGUGGAUAGCCAAUAGAAACAGCUGAUGAUUUUAGUAUAAAUGUGGCCAUAAGGUAUUUGGAAUAUAUGCUUACUGAGAAUUGCUUCUAUUGUGAUGUAAAAAUUACCUGAGCUCUGCCUUUUGCCCUGGAGCUUGUUUUAUUGAAAAGUAGGAUCCUGGAGCUCUCCCACAUCUCGAUACCCAUCCCUUCAUCCUUCUAUCAGUGGUCAACCCUUCGCAUGUGUCAGGCUCGGGAAUCAACACAAUGCCUACUUAAUUUCAUUGACCCCUCCCAAAUCCUGUGUGUGCAGGUCGUUCUGUCCAUCGUGGAUUGUGGUUGAUGAGUCUAUGAAAGGUUAGACUGUCUGUUCAAGGCCCAACAGGUACUGGAGCAAUUGUUGGGGUAGGCUGGGUCUGAUCCCAGAAUCCACAUUAUUAUCAUCUUGAUCUUGUACCUGUUUCAUUGCUAGAGCCCCCAAAGCCUUUCCUGUGGCUUCCACACCCACCCACUCUAUCACCCAGAUCAGUCCUCUGAUGUCUGUCCCUCAUCUCUCUGAUGCCAUCAAAAUUGUUUCCUCAAAGGUCAUCUGGGGCCUCUGAGCUUUAUCAUUUCUUAGUCACCCUCUCCUUUAGCAAGGGGAGACUUGGGUGUCUUUCUUGCUACCUCUACAUAUGAGGCUUUUGUGGUGAAAAGCUGAUCCUCCUCCUUCUGUCUCUAUGGGUAUUUUUGCUGUUUUCGUUUCUACUUACUCACGUGUGUGUAUGUGUGUGUGGGUGUGUGUAAGUAAGUGUGUAUAUGUGUGUGUAUAUGUGGGGGUGGGGGUGUAUGUAUGUGUGUACAUGUAUAUGAACAUGUGAAUGUGUAUAUGUGUGUGUAUGUGUGUGCAUGUGUGUGGCAUAUUGUGUGGGGUGUAUGUGUGUGUGUAUAUAUGUACGUGUGUGUGAGCAUGUGAAUGUGUAUGUGUAUAUGUGUAUGUGAAUAUAUGUGUGUAUAUAUGGGUGGGAUGUGUGCGUGCAUGAAUGUGCAUGUGUCUGUAUGUGUAUAUGUGUAUGUGAAUGUAUGUGGGGAUGUAUGUGUGUGUGUAUGAGCAUGCAUGUGUGUGUAUAUGUGUACACAUGUGAGUGUAUAUGGUAUAUGGUAUAUGUGUGUUUGAAUGUAUUGUAUGGGGGUGUGUGGGAAUGCAUUCAUGUAUGUGCAUGUGUAUGUGUGUAUGUGUAUACAUGUGUGUGUGUGAAUGUAUGUAUAGGGGGCUAUAUUUCUGUGUACAAGUGUGUGUUUGUGUUCAUGGGUGUGUUUGCGUGUGUGUGUGUGUGUGUGUGCAUGUGUGUGUUGCUGAAGAUUGACCCCAGAAGAACCCUUUGCUUACCAGGGUUGCUCUACCACCCUACUCCACCCACCUCCCCUGCCAUUCUCAUGCCUAAGGAUUGUAGAGUGUGUCUGAGUUCUAUUCUUCCUCAGCCCUAUUUCUUCAUUUCAGCACUCUGUUCAAGAUCUCGUUCAUGGUUAAAGUUUCAGCUUUCUCUCUGCUCAGGAUCCCCAGCUCAGAGGUGAACUACAAACAACCUCUUCUGGUCUCAGCAGACACCAUCUUGGUGGCACAUCUGGGAGUUGUUACAGAUGUCUGGGCCCUACCAUAAAACAGGCCCACUCAUGCUGGGAUAGGACCUCAGAGUGGUAGUUUCCUUGGCUGCACUUAUAAAUCAGCACCAACUUGGUGGCCUGAAUGAACACAAAUGUAUGCUCCUUAUAGUUUGUAGGCCAGAAUUAUUAAAUGGAGUUCACUGGGCUUAAAUUUAGAUGCCACUCCUCCUGGCGGCUAUAGUGGAGAAUCCAUCUGUUCGCCUCCUUUUUAUUUGGAGAGCUGCCCUGUUCCUCCUGGUCCUUUUUGGCAUAUCAUACCGCCUUUUAUCUUUAUCCUUCUCUGGUCACAUUGUGUUCUCUCUCUCUCUUUCUCUCUCUCCCUCUACCUCUCUCUCUCUCUUUCUCUCUCUCUCUCUCUCUCUCCAUUUUUCCCUCCCUCCUUCCCUUUUCUCUCUCCCUUCUGUACAUCCAGUCACAUUGCUCCCCCUCCUUCUCUCUCCCCUUCUUUCCCUCCCUCUCUCCCUCCCUCCUUUUUCUCUGUCCCUUCUGUACAUCCUCUCGCCUCUCUCCCCUAAGGCACAUUUUCACCUCAUUUGGAUCCUCCCUGGAAAACUCAGGAUGGUCUCUCCAGCUGAACAGUCUAAGGAACAUCGUCUCCUUCUCUCUGUCGUUCAGACCAUCCUCACCACUGGUUCUUGGAUAAGCCUCCACUAUCCAUCCUUACGGACACUAUCAGCUCAGUCUGCCAGGAAAGUCACCCCAAGGCAAGCUUGAGAACUUCUUGUGACAGAGUGAACCUCUUCAGGUCUCUUGGCUCUGGUUUGCCCUGCAUAUCAUUGUUUUGAACAUGCCACUUGUUACAAUGGGCUCCUGGUGAAAACUCCACCAAAUCCCCCCUCUCUCUUCAGAACAUGUCACAAGUCCAGUGCACAUAGAUAGAGGGCUCCUAGUUUAUCAAGUGAGGCCACCUGCUCUUCUGCACAUCUGUUUCGUUUCUGUAUAUUGAUUUUCUUAGAAUAUGCCUGGUACUGUGAUUGGCUUCUUGGCUUGGUACUGUCACAGUCAUGUGAACUUUUCCUCACCAUGCUGUACUUUCUGGCCUCUUACCCUUGAGCACGUUGCCUUGUUUGCCUUAGCUGCAAUACCCGACUACCCCCAGAGGGUGACCUUUACAACAGAAAUGGCUUGAAAUCUGAAAUCCAGGUGUCAGCAAGGCUGGGUUCCUUUGAGGCUAUGGGGGAAGGGUAUUGUCUUGGUUAGGGUUUUACUGCUAUGAACAGACCCCCAUGACCAAGGCAAGUCUUAUAAAGGACAUUUAAUUGGGGCUGGUUUAUAGGUUCAGAGGGUCAGUUCAUUAUUAUCAAGGUGGGAGCAUGGCAGCCUCUAGGCAGGCAUGGUGUAGGCAGAGCUGAGAGUUCUAUAUCUCAAUCUGAAGUCUGUUAGUGGAAGGCUGACUGUCAGGCACUUAGUAUGAGGGUCGCAAAGCCCACAUCCACAGUGAUACACCUACUUCAACAUUGCCACACCCACUCCAGUUGGGCCACACCUCCUAAUAUUGCCACUCCCUGGUCCAAGCUUAUUCAAACCAUCACAGGAACGAUCUGUCCAUGGUAUCACUUACUCCUUGGCUUUUGGGUACCUGUUUCCUUCCAUAGCCCUUCAGAUCACAUUUCUUCUGCGUGUAUCUGUCAGCAAAAUUUUCCUUCCUUAAGGAUACAUUGUACAUUAGAGUUAGGGCCAACCUUGAUAGACUCAUUCUUUAACUUGGACAUUUUCAAAAAAAAUGGUAUUGUUAUACAAGGUCUCACCCUGAGCUGUUAAGAGUUAGGAAUCCAAUAUGUGAAGUUGGGAGGCACACAGUUCAAUCCGUAACACUAGCUACUCAUGGUUCUAUUUGGUUUCUGAAGUGUUUGGCCCCCUCUGCUCUGAAGGCUGAGGGCCCCUCUCUCUCCUGAACAACAUAACCAUAUUUGUACAUUCACUUGGAAAAUCGACAAACUAAACUGGGAUGGUAUUUCUUUGAGCAAUAACAUGUACGUGUCACAUAAGCAUGUGUCUUUCCCAAAUAGAACCAAAGCUUUGGAGGUAGCUAUGUGACUAUCUCACGCCAUGCAUGCUGCCUGGGAUAUAUAUCUUCGAUAUCUAUUAAUGAUUUAAUUUCAGGAAAUUUGAGAGUUUAGUUUGGAGAAGUGAGCAGUGACCACGGAGAUCAUAGAAAAUUAUCUGCUCUUUAUAGCUUUGGAUGAAGGCUACCUUCUUUGCUUUUAUUUGGAGGAGGAGUGCGUGCUUUACGAGAUAGGUUCUUGUGUGUCAUCUGUGCUAGCCUCAAACUUACAAGGAUCCUUCAGCCUCAGCCUCCCGAGGGCUAGGAUUAUAUCCUGGACUUCCGUGUCAAGGUUUCUGUGAUGCCUUUGUUGGAGAGACUGUAAGAGAAUAUUUUCAAGUGGCCGUCAUGAAACACUGGGAGCAAACCAAAGCAAAGGGGGAGAGAGAGCAAGAGGUAAAGCAGAUCCCUGGAUACUCAAAUGAGUUAGUCCAGAAACGGAGUGAGGCUUGGCUGAUGGCAUUUCGACAUCCCCACCUUUGCCACCGCCAGCCCUGUAUACAUCAGGGAGAGCCUGCUGCUUGAAGGGCUUAUCAAGCUGACCCAGCCAUCCUGAGUCAGAAACUGCCAACAUCUUCCUGGGUGGCUUUGCAUCGGCCUCUUCUUGCUUUCCCUUAGUCGUCAGCUGCCAAGCUCAGAGUCUCCAGUUACUUCCGCUCUGACAGUACACAGUGGUGACUGAGGCUGCAGUGACACAAGCUAAGAUCAGACCCAAAUUAAGAUGACUGGACAGAGAGUUAUCUGCAUCCUUCUCGUAUUACCAUCUGUCGCCUGGAAUUGGUUUCCCUGCCUGGAGAAAUCCCUUUCAUACAUCUUUUGGUGACCAUCUACUCACUCUACAGAAAACACUGAGUAAGGAACUGGGACCAGAACCAGCUACACCACCUCCAUGACUGAGUGCAAACCUUGUCCUGAGCAGAACAGGCAGUGGCUCUUUGAGCUGUUUCAUCAUCUGGCUCACCUGACAUCCUCCCGUGGACAACCAUUAUGUGAACGAUGGACAGCCGAGAUGCCUUUUUGGAACAGCCCCAAUGAAAGCAGAUAAAUUCUACACUGGCCUGCAUUUCCUCCCACGCACCGUAUCCCUUCCAUACGGACCACUGCACAUACUGAAGGCUGCUUAAUGGAGGACACAGCAAAGCUCCUCUGUAUGACAAAGGCAUGCUGGUGAUAAUAACAUGAUCUGUACUCGUGCAUUCAUUAAGUAAAACUUAUUCUUAUACCCAGAUUUACCAAUAAGGAAGCCCAUGAAAAUAAAGGUUUAAAAGAUCUGCCAGAAUUGUGCUGUAAAUGGUGAUGUUAGAUUCCCAGUCUGAGCUCCCAUAGGAGUUCCCUCUGUCUCUGUGCCCUGACGAUGCUGUGAUCUUAAAACCAUGUUCUCAUCCUUGUUAUCUUAUCAAUUAUUUUUAUAACCCCAUGGUGGAUGAAUUAUUAAUCCCAUUGUACAGAUAAGAACAGUGAGUUUCAGAGGUUGAAAGCUCAGACUUUUUUUUUUUAUUUUU